rnacentral:rRNA from 1 species
UGGGGAAUUUUGGACAAUGGGGGCAACCCUGAUCCAGCCAUUCCGCGUGAGUGAAGAAGGCCUUCGGGUUGUAAAGACUCUUUCGGUCAGGAACGGAAACGGACGGGCUCUAACAUAGCCUGUCAAUGACGGUACCUGAAGAAGAAGCACCGGCUAACUACGUGCC